UAUGUGACUGUUUUUUUAAAUUUAUUUAAGUAUGUAUAUUUAAUUCCAAGUUUAAUAUAAUAUAAAAAUAUUUUAAUUUGUUUUCCACAGUUAUUAUACUUUAUUGUUUUAUCUAAGUACUUACUUAUAUUUAUCAACAAGUGGAUAAAUGUAUAAAUAUGGUUUUUUGGGUGAAUAAUUUUUUCUUUACUAUACAUUUUUAAAAUAUCAAGUCUUGGUGGAGGGAAGGCUUUGACUUUAGAAUUAAUUGGUUUUGUAGCAUUUGGAACAUAGGUACCCAGUGGUGUAUUAGAGGGUAUCGUCAAUCAAAACCUUUUUGAACAACAGACAAUAUGUAGGUACUUAUAAAACCCUAUAUUGAUUAAUAAUAACUGAAGCAUCUCCUCGGCAUUUGGGAUUUUUUUUUUUUGGAAUGCAGAAAAAUAAUGGUAUAUCGUAUUCUUGAAAUUGCAAAACCACUUCCGGUUAUAGGUAACAGAGAGCAGUGAAAAAGCAUUAUAGGUGGAAUAAAGACCGACCGAUGUAGUCACUAGGACAAUUUUAAUCGAAAAUAACCCUUGAUUUGUUGUGCAAAACCACGUCGGGUAGUUAACAAGUAACAUAACGGGUAACCUAACCUAUAUAGUUUGACUAUAUAGUCACUCGUAUUACGAAAAUACGUAAGACACCGAAAAUCGUGAAUUUUAUAAAGCAAUAACUUUAAAACUAAUGAUUUCCGUAAAAAAAUUAAUUAAAAUUUAAUUUUGUAUUCUGAGUGUAGCGAAGAAUGUAUUGGUUUUACUAAGAUGUUUAUUUUUGUUUCUUUUCUUUUAUAUUGUAAACAAAAAUUCGACCAAAAAUCUUGCUCAGAUAUAUACGCGCGGCACCAUUUUUGAAAUGGAAAAUUGCUCAGAUGGUAUUUUUGGAAGGUCAUUUUUUGAUUUUCCAAGUGGUUUUCAUAAUAUCUGGGAAAAACCACGAUAAAACUUAAGAAAAACGAGAAAUGUACGAAAAUAAUGCUUUUAUUAUUUUUCAAUUUUGUUAUUUGUUGUAAUUCAUUUAAAAAUAUUCGUAGAGACUCUAUGGACUUAAAAUUUGGACAGAAAUCUUAUAUUUGUCUUUUCUAGACGUGGUAAAAUUUUCAAAAAAUUUAAUCCAUUUUUGAGCUAUUCAUAGAUAUUUUAAUUUUGCAUUAAUUUUAAUUUAAAAGGUUGGAUACAGUGGAAGAAGAUCUCACGAAAAUAGGAGUACGAGAGUGGAGAACAAUAGUUCAUAACAGGGAAGAAUGGAGGCAGAUUGUGAUGGCGGCGAAAACUCUUCAAGAGUAAUAAAUGCCAGCAGAAGAAGAAGAAGGUAGGUACUCUGUGGUAAAAUUGUUACACUCGAACAGAAAUGCUUGACAAUUUAACAGGAGGUUUAUUAGGAGUCUAACUUUGUAGUUGAAAAAAAACAAAUUGAGUUUAAUGUA